rnacentral:rRNA from 1 species
UGGGGGAUAUUGCACAAUGGAGGAAACUCUGAUGCAGCGACGCCGCGUGAGUGAAGAAGUAUUUCGGUAUGUAAAGCUCUAUCAGCAGGGAAGAAAGGCCCGCAGGGGAGAUGACGGUACCUGACUAAGAAGCCCCGGCUAACUACGUG